GUUGCAGCUGAUAUUUCAUAGGGUUUUAUGAUUUGUUUUCGUUAGAAAAAAUAUUGAUAUGCUCCACAAAAAUAAACUUUUGCUUUAAAAAUAUUUAUUUAACUUUAUUCGUUUUUUAAUAAACAAAGAUAUUAUCUCUUUGAAUUGUUGAAACAAAAAUAAAUAUCUGAUGUUUAGUUUUUAAAAAACCAGCUUACCGCAAAGGCCGAAAUGGAUAUUUGAACUCAUGAAAGAAUGCAGUACUUCGCAGAUUUGGUCGCCUUUUCAUCGGGUCAAGCUCCGGCGGCGAUUUUGUGAAAAUGGUCGUUUCAAUGUAAUCACCCCAUACUCGCCCUGAUGUCUGGAAAGUCGCCUUUCCUAGAUGGCGCUAUUCGAAUAUAUUUUAGGAAUUUCCCACGAAUCACCUGACUUGUUUUUGAAUUUAUUUAGCAACGCAUACCGUCAUUUCAAGAAUUUUGAUUCUUCCAAUAGCAUUUUACCAAAACAUUCUUCAAUUUCUGAUCAAGAUUUUUAAGGGAGAUGCAUGCAAUCAAUUAAUAAAUAAGAGAAUCAGCUGUAAAGAAAUCCAAUAUUUACUUGCUUUCAUUGCUUUACUAAUUAAAUAUAUUAAAAAAAAUAAUUUAAUAAUAUCAGUAAUUCUACUUGAUCGAUUAAAACUAUAAAAGUAC